rnacentral:rRNA from 1 species
UACGUAGGGUGCGAGCGUUGUCCGGAAUUAUUGGGCGUAAAGAGCUCGUAGGUGGUUUGUCGCGUUGUUCGUGAAAACUCACAACUCAAUUGUGGGCGUGCGGCGAUACGGGCAGACUGGAGUACUGCAGGGGAGACUGGAAUUCCUGGUGUAGCGGUGGAAUGCGCAGAUAUCAGGAGGAACACCGGUGGCGAAGGCGGGUCUCUGGGCAGUAACUGACGCUGAGGAGCGAAAGCGUGGGGAGCGAACAGG